UCUCAAAGGCAGGGAGACUCUCCUGCCUGGCCGUGCUGGCUAGGGAACAGGCACGGGCAGCCGGGCACUGGCAGCCUGCCCCCGUGGGGGGUGGGGAUGAGUCUGAAGUCUGAAUGAGGAAAUCCAGAGACAGUGGGUUUUGAACAAGCGUCAUGAUGGAGGCCAAGGAGGGGCAAGCAAUGGGGGAUCAAGGACCAAGAGCGCUUUGUGAGCGUGUGAACUUCAGAGUUUAGGAGAGUCUCAACAGUUUCAAACUCUUUGGGAAAGACGAGCCGGGAGGUGUCUUCUACGUUGCCAGCCCGAGGAUGGCUCCCACCUGCCGCCAUUGUGUGCCGCCACAGCCAGAGUCGGAAGCCACGUGGGUGGGCUCAGUCUGUUGUCCAACUCCCCAACAAUGGUCAGCAGCAGGUCUAGCAGUAGCCCACAAGGCAAGCAGGAAAAGAAGAGAGCUAAUCUUCCUUCUUCCAAGGUCCUUAUGUGUAGCCUCCCCCAGCCAGAAAUGGGCUGAUGCGAACCUUGCUGCCACUGAGAAUGAGACCACCUGGGGAGGAGCCUUCAGACCUAGAUGGCUCUAUUGUUCUGUCACCUGCUGCUGCUCUCCUCCAUGACACUGCUACCUGCUGAGAGGCCCACACUGCUACCUGCUGAGAGGUCCCUGAGAUAUUCCAGAGGCACAUCCUAUCCUGCAUGUCACCUACAGGCUGGCUCCAGA
rnacentral:lncRNA from 1 species